rnacentral:rRNA from 1 species
ACGGAAGGCAGCAGUGGGGAAUAUUGCACAAUGGGCGAAAGCCUGAUGCAGCGACGCCGCGUGAGUGAUGAAGUAUCUCGGUAUGUAAAACUCUAUCAGCAGGGAAGAAAAAUGACGGUACCUGACUAAGAAGCACCGGCUAAAUACGUGCCAGCAGCCGCGGUAAUACGUAUGGUGCAAGCGUUAUCCGGAUUUACUGGGUGUAAAGGGAGCGCAGGCGGAAGGCUAAGUCUGAUGUGAAAGCCCACGGCUCAACCGUGGUACUGCAUUGGAAACUGGUCAUCUAGAGUGUCGGAGGGGUAAGCGGAAUUCCUAGUGUAGCGGUGAAAUGCGUAGAUAUUAGGAGGAACACCAGUGGCGAAGGCGGCUUACUGGACGAUGACUGACGCUGAGGCUCGAAAGCGUGGGGAGCAAACAGGAUUAGAUACCCUGGUA